UGAUCUUGAGCUAACCUAGCACAUACUACGCAUAUAGUGGAUACAUCUAUGCAAACAAGUAGUACUGCUAGAGUAAAUACGAACAAGAGGAUAAACGAGUCAUACCCUCCAAUCGGCCAGUUGGACGUAGCAGCAGCAGCGGCAGUAUCCUCUGCCGUCUUCUUCUCGGCUUCCUCGCGGAGACGAUCAGCUUCGCUUGGUGAAGACAUGGCGAUGACGAGGGCGACGCGGACGUAGACGAAGCAGACGGACGGAGGCGAGCAGUCGCGUGAUCGCUCCCCAAAAACCUAAUCG
rnacentral:lncRNA from 1 species